rnacentral:lncRNA from 1 species
CUUUGAACCAAAGCUCGAUGCUCUUAAAGAUAAAUUCAUAUAUAUUUGCCUGAAACACUAGAUUGAAUUUAUUAGUACAACAUGAAAUAUACUCAAAUGCUUUGAGCUCAUCAAAAUCAAAUAGGAAUAUAAUCAAUCACUCCACAGAUGUUUAGUUGGGAUUGAUAGCUCCUUCUUUAUAUGCGAACCAUUCUUGACAAAUUUAGACAACAUGAAAUAUUCUGAAAAUUUGAUGGAUCAGGCUCCAAUAAACUGUAGUAAACACUUGUGAACUUGAGUAGUGCACCUAAAAUUCAAGCGGUACCAUGUUGUGGUGGAGGUAUUAGUGCUCUAAGAAAGUCAUCCUGUUUAUGCAUACUACACUUUAGUAUUACCCU